rnacentral:rRNA from 1 species
GAUGAACGCUGGCGGCGUGCCUAAUACAUGCAAGUCGAGCGAACGGACGAGAAGCUUGCUUCUCUGAUGUUAGCGGCGGACGGGUGAGUAGCACGUGGAUAACCUACCUAUAAGACUGGGAUAACUUCGGGAAACCGGAGCUAAUACCGGAUAAUAUUUUGAACCGCAUGGUUCAAAAGUGAAAGACGGUCUUGCUGUCACUUAUAGAUGGAUCCGCGCUGCAUUAGCUAGUUGGUAAGGUAACGGCUUACCAAGGCAACGAUGCAUAGCCGACCUGAGAGGGUGAUCGGCCACACUGGAACUGAGACACGGUCCAGACUCCUACGGGAGGCAGCAGUAGGGAAUCUUCCGCAAUGGGCGAAAGCCUGACGGAGCAACGCCGCGUGAGUGAUGAAGGUCUUCGGAUCGUAAAACUCUGUUAUUAGGGAAGAACAUAUGUGUAAGUAACUGUGCACAUCUUGACGGUACCUAAUCAGAAAGCCACGGCUAACUACGCG